rnacentral:rRNA from 1 species
UACGGGGGGGGCAAGCGUUGUUCGGAAUUACUGGGCGUAAAGGGCUCGUAGGCGGCCAACUAAGUCCGACGUGAAAUCCCUCGGCUUAACCGGGGAACUGCGUCUGAUACUGGAUGGCUUGAAUCCGGGAGAGGGAUGCGGAAUUCCAGGUGUAGCGGUGAAAUGCGUAGAUAUCUGGAGGAACACCGGUGGCGAAGGCGACAUCCUGGACCGGUAUUGACGCUGAGUGAGCGAAAGCCAGGGGAGCAAACGGG